GCCCUAGGGUACAGAAACUGAUUUAAAUGAUAGGUUACAUACCCCAGUUAGUAGGUCUGCAACAUCAUAUUUGAGUUCCUUCAGGACU